rnacentral:lncRNA from 1 species
AGAGGAAUUAGAGAGUAGAGAGAAGAUUGGGAGUAGAGAGAAAAAAAAUAUAUUAGUUUCUCCUAAGUAUUACCUCCUUGUAUUCUUAUAUUACAAGAGAGAUUAAUUGUUGUUAUCUCCUUGUAUUUAGAGAGUGUUGUAAUUCUCCUACUAUAGUGAAAUCCUUCUAUACUUGCCCGUGGACGUAGCCUAAAUUGGGUGAACCACGUAAAUACUUGCGUCCAUUUUCAGCUGCGGUUUCUCAAUUCCAUUUUGUUGUAAAGCCAAAGUCGACCCACGUUAUUUCUAACACAUUAUUGAAAGGAAAUUGAAGAAUGUUUCAAAGAUAUGUAUUUAUUUAUGUUUCGAAAUAUAAAACAUGAGUUUAUCAUCUUUUACAACUCAACUAAUUAUAUCACUAUAUCUACAAUGAUACACUAAAAGCGUUUAAAGUCCUAGCGCAAACUAUUGUUGAUGUUGAGUAUGAUGGUUAGCGAGGGUGAUUUUCCGUAGAGGAUUAAUGUAAAUUAACUAAUUAUUAAUUGAAAAGUCAAAAGAAUAAUGAACUGAUUCAACAGUUGAGGUGACACAUACUAUACAAUUCGGAUGACUAAAACCAAAAUGGUAAUUUCGCACUAACAAUUGUGGGUUGGAUUAUUCAAACUUCAAAAAAUGAAACUAAGGAAAAAGAAAUAUAUAAAUUCAAAAUAAGUGGAACCAAGAAUCUAAAUCUAACGGGAUUUUUCUUCACCACUGAUAAUGAUUUCCUUGAUUAAUUAUCAAACACAAGUUUUUAUUCCUUUUAGACACAUCAAUUCUAACACAAAUUCAAGUUAAAUUAUCGCUCAUUCUUCUUUAUCAUUGCGUCAUCACCUUUUACAUCGCAGACGAACUGACUCCUGAUGGAGGUUAGCUGGAAUGUCGGGCAGAGCUGAAAAGGUGGCCCAGAAGAUUAUAUGUAAGGUCUACCCUACUGCAGUGUCUGAACAGUGAAGAAGGUAGGUCAUUGAUUAUGUGCAAAGAUUAAUCAAGAAUUCCAGUAAGGGUCUGUACCAUUAAAAACUUAUCACCAUGAUGGAGAUUUUAUUUGUCAUCCUUUGGUGGUGGUAAUUCUUGAUGAAACACUGAAGUAAAAAGGAUAUCCAGGUCAUUAAUGCUAAGGUUAUACUUUUGAAAUGCAUUGUUCAGAAUAAUGUUUUUGAGAUCCUUCUAUUAAAUUUGAGAUGUGUUGCACCCUGUGCUUUCUCAAGAUGGCUGAUAGGCUCAUUUGAAAGGACUAUCUAUAUAAAUUAAAUUUGAUACUGAUCAAAACAUGUGAUGUUAUGAAAGUUAUAUUAUUGGUGCUCAUCAUUGCUUGGUGACAGAUGAUGUAAACAUCCCACAACCAUA